rnacentral:lncRNA from 1 species
GUGGGGGGCGCGGGCGAAGUUCGUCCGCCGGACUCGGAAUGGGGCGAGACUUUGCGAGGGGCCUCGGGGUGCCAAAAAUAAGCCGCGGGCAAAGCCGCGCCGAAAAAUAAGCGCCCAAAGGUCGUGGUGCCAAAACCCCCAGCGGAAACAUGGCCAAAAAACGGGUGGGCUAUAGCCUUGGUGGGGGGCGCGGGCGAAGUUCGUCCGCCGGACUCGGAAUGGGGCAGACUUUACGAGGGGCCUCGGGGUGCCAAAAAUAAGCCGCGGGCAAAGCCGCGCCCAAAAAUAAGCGCCCGAAGGUCGUAGUUCCAAAACCCCCCAGCGGAAAAAUGGCCAAAAAACGGGUGGGCUAUAGCCUUGGUGGGGGGCGCGGGCGAAGUUCGUCCGCCGGACUCGGAAUGGGGCGAGACUUUGCGAGGGGCCUCGGGGUACCAAAAAUAAGCCGUGGGCAAAGCCGCGCCGAAAAAUAAGCGCCCGAAGGUCGUGGUGCCAAAACCCCCAGCGGAAAAAUGGCCAAAAAACGGGUGGGCUAUAGCCUUGGUGGGGGGCGAGGGCGAAGUUCGUCCGCCGGACUCGGCAUGGGGCGGACUUUACGAGGGGCCUCGGGGUGCCAAAAAUAAGCCGCGGGCAAAGCCGCGCCCAAAAAUAAGCGCCCGAAGGUCGUAGUUCCAAAACCCCCCAGCGGAAAAAUGGCCAAAAAACGGGUGGGCUACAGCCUUGGUGGGGGGCGCGGGCGAAGUUCGUCCGCCGGACUCGGAAUGGGGCGAGGCUUUGCGAGGGGCCUCGGGGUGCCAAAAAUAAGCCGCGGGCAAAGCCGCGCCCAAAAAUAAGCACCCGAAGGUCGUGUUGCCAAAACCCCCCAGCGGAAAAAUGGCCAAAAAACGGGUGGGCUAUAGCCUUGGUGGGGGGCGCGGGCGAAGUUCGUCCGCCGGACUCGGAAUGGGGCGGACUUUACGAGGGGGCUCGGGGUGCCAAAAAUAAGCCGCGGGCAAAGCCGCGCCCAAAAAUAAGCGCCCGAAGGUCGUGGCGCCAAAACCCCCCAGCGGAAAAAUGGCCAAAAAACGGGUGGGCUAUAGCGUUGGUGGGUGGCGCGGGCGAAGUUCGUCCGCCGGACUCGGAAUGGGGCGAGACUUUGCGAGGGGCCUCGGGGUGCUAAAAAUAAGCCGCGGACAAAGCCGCGCCCAAAAAUAAGAGCCCGAAGGUCGUGGUGCCAAAACCCCCCAGCUGAAAAAUGGCCAAAAAACGGGUGGGCUAUAGCCUUGGUGGGGGGCGCGGGCGAAGUUCGUCCGCCGGACUCGGAAUGGGGCGGACUUUACGAGGGGCCUCGGGGUGCGAAAAAUAAGCCGCGGGCAAAGCCGCGCCCAAAAAUAAGCGCCCGAAGGUCCUAGUUCCAAAACCCCCCAGCGGAAAAAUGGCCAAAAAACGGGUGGGCUAUAUCCUUGGUGGGCGGCGCGGGCGAAGUUCGUCCGCCGGACUCGGAAUGGGGCGAGACUUUGCGAGGGGCCUCGGGGUGCCAAAAAUAAGCCGCGGGCAAAGCCGCGGCGAAAAAUAAGCGCCCGAAGGUCGUGGUGCCAAAACCCCCAGCGGAAAAAUGGCCAAAAAACGGGUGGGCUAUAGCCUUGGUGGGGGGCGCGGGCGAAGUUCGUCCGCCGGACUCGGAAUGGGGCGAGACUUUGCGAGGGGCCUCGGGGUGCCAAAAAUAAGCCGCGGGAAAAGCCGCGCCGAAAAAUAAGCGCCCAACGGUCGUGGUGCCAAAACCCCCAGCGGAAACAUGGCCAAAAAACGGGUGGGCUAUAGCCUUGGUGGGGGGCGCGGGCGAAGUUCGUCCGCCGGGCUCGGAAUGGGGCAGACUUUACGAGGGGCCUCGGGGUUGCCAAAAAUAAGCCGCGGGCAAAGCCGCGCCCAAAAAUAAGCGCCCGAAGGUCGUAGUUCCAAAACCCCCCAGCGGAAAAAUGGCCAAAAAACGGGUGGGCUAUAGCCUUGGUGGGGGGCGCGGGCGAAGUUCGUCCGCCGGACUCGGAAUGGGGCGAGACUUUGCGAGGGGCCUCGGGGUACCAAAAAUAAGCCACGGGCAAAGCCGCGCCGAAAAAUAAGAGCCCGAAGGUCGUGGUGCCAAAACCCCCAGCGGAAAAAUGGCCAAAAAACGGGUGGGCUAUAGCCUUGGUGGGGGGCGCGGGCGAAGUUCGUCCGCCGGACUCGGCAUGGGGCGGACUUUACGAGGGGCCUCGGGGUGCCAAAAAUAAGCCGCGGGCAAAUCCGCGCCCAAAAUUAAGCGCCCGAAGGUCGUAGUUCUAAAACCCCCCAGCGGAAAAAUGGCCAAAAAACGGGUGGGCUAUAGCCUUGGUGGGGGGCGCGGGCGAAGUUCGUCCGCCGGACUCGGAAUGGGGCAAGACUUUGCGAGGGGCCUCGGGGUGCCAAAAAUAAGCCGCGGGCAAAGCCGCGCCCAAAAAUUAGCACCCGAAGGUCGUGGUGCCAAAACCCCCCAGCGGAAAAAUGGCCAAAAAACGGGUGGGCUAUAGCCUUGGUGGGGGGCGCGGGCGAAGUUCGUCCGCCGGACUCGGAAUGGGGCAAGACUUUGCGAGGGGCCUCGGGGUGCCAAAAAUAAGCCGCGGGCAAAGCCGCGCCCAAAAAUAAGAGCCCGAAGGUCGUGGUGCCAAAACCCCCCAGCUGAAAAAUGGCCAAAAAACGGGUGGGCUAUAGCCUUAGUGGGGGGGGCGGGCGAAGUUCGUCCGCCGGACUCGGAAUGGGGCGGACUUUACGAGGGGCCUCGGAGUGCGAAAAAUAAGCCGCGGGCAAAGCCGCGCCCAAAAAUAAGCGCCCGAAGGUCCUAGUUCCAAAACCCCCCAGCGGAAAAAUGGCCAAAAAACGGGUGGGCUAUAGCCUUGGUGGGCGGCGCGGGCGAAGUUCGUCCGCCGGACUCGGAAUGGGGCGAGACUUUUACGAGGGGCCUCGGGGUGCCAAAAAUAAGCCGCGGGCAAAGCCACGCCGAAAAAUAAGCGCCCGAAGGUCGUGGUGCCAAAACCCCCAGCGGAAAAAUGGCCAAAAAACGGGUGGGCUAUAGCCUUAGUGGGGGGCGCGGGCGAAGUUCGUCCGCCGGACUCGGAAUGGGGCGGACUUUGUGACGGGGCCUCGGGGUGCCAAACAUAAGCCGCGGGCAAAGCCGCGCCGAAAAAUAAGCGCCCGAAGGUCGUGGUGCCAAAACCCCCAGCGGAAAAAUGGCCAAAAAACGGGUGGGCUAUAGCCUUGGUGGGGGGCGCGGGCGAAGUUCGUCCGCCGGACUAGGCAUGGGGCGGACUUUACGAGGGGCCUCGGGGUGCCAAAAAUAAGCCGCGGGCAAAGCCGCGCCCAAAAAUAAGCGCCCGAAGGUCGUAGUUCUAAAACCCCCCAGCGGAAAAAUGGCCAAAAAACGGGUGGGCUAUAGCCUUGGUGGGGGGCGCGGGCGAAGUUCGUCCGCCGGACUCGGAAUGGGGCAAGACUUUGCGAGGGGCCUCGGGGUGCCAAAAAUAAGCCGCGGGCAAAGCCGCGCCCAAAAAUUAACACCCGAAGGUCGUGGUGCCAAAACCCCCCAGCGGAAAAAUGGCCAAAAAACGGGUGGGCUAUAGCCUUGGUGGGGGGCGCGGGCGAAGUUCGUCCGCCGGACUCGGAAUGGGGCAAGACUUUGCGAGGGGCCUCGGGGUGCCAAAAAUAAGCCGCGGGCAAAGCCGCGCCCAAAAAUAAGAGCCCGAAGGUCGUGGUGCCAAAACCCCCCAGCUGAAAAAUGGCCAAAAAACGGGUGGGCUAUAGCCUUAGUGGGGGGGGCGGGCGAAGUUCGUCCGCCGGACUCGGAAUGGGGCGGACUUUACGAGGGGCCUCGGAGUGCGAAAAAUAAGCCGCGGGCAAAGCCGCGCCCAAAAAUAAGCGCCCGAAGGUCCUAGUUCCAAAACCCCCCAGCGGAAAAAUGGCCAAAAAACGGGUGGGCUAUAGCCUUGGUGGGCGGCGCGGGCGAAGUUCGUCCGCCGGACUCGGAAUGGGGCGAGACUUUUACGAGGGGCCUCGGGGUGCCAAAAAUAAGCCGCGGGCAAAGCCACGCCGAAAAAUAAGCGCCCGAAGGUCGUGGUGCCAAAACCCCCAGCGGAAAAAUGGCCAAAAAACGGGUGGGCUAUAGCCUUAGUGGGGGGCGCGGGCGAAGUUCGUCCGCCGGACUCGGAAUGGGGCGGACUUUGUGACGGGGCCUCGGGGUGCCAAACAUAAGCCGCGGGCAAAGCCGCGCCGAAAAAUAAGCGCCCGAAGGUCGUGGUGCCAAAACCCCCAGCGGAAAAAUGGCCAAAAAACGGGUGGGCUAUAGCCUUGGUGGGGGGCGCGGGCGAAGUUCGUCCGCCGGACUCGGAAUGGGGCGAGACUUUGCGAGGGGCCUCGGGGUGCCAAAAAUAAGCCGCGGGCAAAGCCGCGCCGAAAAAUAAGUGCCCAAAGGUCGUGGUGCCAAAACCCCCAGCGGAAACAUGGCCAAAAAACGGGUGGGCUAUAGCCUUGGUGGGGGGCGCGGGCGAAGUUCGUCCGCCGGACUCGGCAUGGGGCGGACUUUACGAGGGGCCUCGGGGUGCCAAAAAUAAGCCGCGGGCAAAGCCGCGCCCAAAAAUAAGCGCCCGAAGGUCGUAGUUCCAAAACCCCCCAGCGGAAAAAUGGCCAAAAAACGGGUGGGCUACAGCCUUGGUGGGGGGCGCGGGCGAAGUUCGUCCGCCGGACUCGGAAUGGGGCGGACUUUACGAGGGGGCUCGGGGUGCCAAAAAUAAGCCGCGGGCAAAGCCGCGCCCAAAAAUAAGCGCCCGAAGGUCGUGGUUCCAAAACCCCCCAGCGGAAAAAUGGCCAAAAAACGGGUGGGCUAUAGCGUUGGUGGGUGGCGCGGGCGAAGUUCGUCCGCCGGACUCGGAAUGGGGCGAGACUUUGCGAGGGGCCUCGGGGUGCCAAAAAUAAGCCGCGGGCAAAGCCGCGCCCAAAAAUAAGAGCCCGAAGGUCGUGGUGCCAAAACCCCCCAGCUGAAAAAUGGCCAAAAAACGGGUGGGCUAUAGCCUUGGUGGGGGGCGCGGGCGAAGUUCGUCCGCCGGACUCGGAAUGGGGCGGACUUUACGAGGGGGCUUGGGGUGCCAAAAAUAAGACGCGGGCAAAGCCGCGCCCAAAAAUAAGCGCCCGAAGGUCGUGGUGCCAAAACCCCCCAGCGGAAAAAUGGCCAAAAAACGGGUGGGCUAUAGCGUUGGUGGGUGGCGCGGGCGAAGUUCGUCCGCCGGACUCGGAAUGGGGCGAGACUUUGCGAGGGGCCUCGGGGUGCCAAAAAUAAGCCGCGGGCAAAGCCGCGCCCAAAAAUAAGAGCCCGAAGGUCGUGGUGCCAAAACCCCCCAGCUGAAAAAUGGCCAAAAAACGGGUGGGCUAUAGCCUUGGUGGGGGGCGCGGGCGAAGUUCGUCCGCCGGACUCGGAAUGGGGCGGACUUUACGAGGGGGCUCGGGGUGCCAAAAAUAAGACGCGGGCAAAGCCGCGGGCAAAGCCGCGCCCAAAAAUAAGCGCCCGAAGGUCGUGGUGCCAAAACCCCCCAGCGGAAAAAUGGCCAAAAAACGGGUGGGCUAUAGCGUUGGUGGGUGGCGCGGGCGAAGUUCGUCCGCCGGACUCGGAAUGGGGCGAGACUUUGCGAGGGGCCUCGGGGUGCCAAAAAUAAGCCGCGGGCAAAGCCGCGCCCAAAAAUAAGAGCCCGAAGGUCGUGGUGCCAAAACCCCCCAGCUGAAAAAUGGCCAAAAAACGGGUGGGCUAUAGCCUUGGUGGGGGGCGCGGGCGAAGUUCGUCCGCCGGACUCGGAAUG